UGGGGAAUUUUGGACAAUGGGCGCAAGCCUGAUCCAGCCAUGCCGCGUGCGGGAAGAAGGCCUUCGGGUUGUAAACCGCUUUUGUCAGGGAAGAAAUCUUCUGAGUUAAUACCUCGGGAGGAUGACGGUACCUGAAGAAUAAGCACCGGCUAACUACGUGCCAGCAGCCGCGGUAAUACGUAGGGUGCAAGCGUUAAUCGGAAUUACUGGGCGUAAAGCGUGCGCAGGCGGUUUUGUAAGACAGAGGUGAAACCCCCGGGCUCAACCUGGGAACUGCCUUUGUGACUGCAAGGCUUGAGUGCGGCAGAGGGGGAUGGAAUUCCGCGUGUAGCAGUGAAAUGCGUAGAUAUGCGGAGGAACACCGAUGGCGAAGGCAAUCCCCUGGGCCUGCACUGACGCUCAUGCACGAAAGCGUGGGGAGCAAACAGGAUUAGAUACCCUGGUAGUCCACGCCCUAAACGAUGUCAACUGGUUGUUGGGAAGGUUCCUUCUCAGUAACGUAGCUAACGCGUGAAGUUGACCGCCUGGGGAGUACGGCCGC
rnacentral:rRNA from 1 species